UGCUGUGUACUGUGUGACCUUAACUAAAUAGAAUUAGUGAUUAUGGAUCUGUGCAGUGAAAUAUAGGGCUGCCGGUUUUAGCCUGCUGUAGGGUGGGCUGGUAGAAAUAAUAGGUGGGCAACUUGGGCGCAGUUUCAUCACUAGGAUUGGUGUCACCCAGUGCGGUCGACGGAGGGACGGGGGGACGGGGUGCUGUUGGAUGCUGUCCGGUGGAGGGGGGGGGGGGGUGCUGGCGGGCGUGGGCACGUGUUAUGCAUUAAAUUCAUAUAGCACUUCUCGUCACAUUAAAGACCAUCUUGCAGGUUAAAUUUUUGACGAAAUGUAUACUUAACCUUGUCUGUAAAUGACCAUUUGAAAAGUUAAAAAAGUUGAUGCAGGCUUGAAUAAUUUUUACAAGACAUAAGGGCACAAAUUCAGAGGAACCACAACAGCCACAGACACUCAGACAGCAUCUGAAGUCUUUCCUCAAAACUUUUAUCGUUCAUACCAGGAACCAGUUUGGUUUCCCUUCUUUCAACCUUUUCCAGAUCCUCUAUAUCUUUCUUGUAGUACAGUCCCCAGAACUGCACACAGUUCACUAAGUGUGGUCUGACAAAGGUAUUGUAUAAAAUAAGUAUAACUUCCUUGGAUUUACAGGGCUCCAGACUAACUUUUUACAUUGGAUGCACUGGUGCGCCUAACUUUUUCAUUUAGGUGCAGCAGCACAUAAUUUAGUUAGACCCAAAAUUUUUCACCGCGCCUUUUGGCACCGUAAUAAUACAUUUUAAGUGUUACCUUUUUUGUCAGUUCCCAUACACAUUGGUAAUUUCUUAACACAUUAUGUAAAUGAUUGUAAACAGGAAUAAAGGUGCAGAUAAAUGUUUUCUCUUUAUUUAAAUCACAGCACAAACAAGAAAUGGCAAUAACCUCAAUUGUUUAAAAAAUAAACUUAAAAAGUGCUGAUGUUUAAAGUGCUUGACAAACUCAAAUAAAUAAAUCAAACUCAAAUAACUCAAAUAAAAGUGUGCGCUGCUCCCGGAGGAGUACAGGGCGCGGUUUCACACACACACACUAGUGAUGCGCGGAUCGGCUCUGACGUCAUCCGAAUCCACAUGUACGCAUAAAUCAUCCACCCGCCACCCACCCGAACAAAUUAUUUUCUCCGAUUUAGAGACCCGCACCCGAUCACACAUUACCGCUAUUUCUCAUUAUUUCGCAGCUGUUGCAUAUGACAUACCCAGCACUUGACUCGUCAUUCACUAAAUCGCUCCCACACAGAACUUUUCUGCCCUUUUUUUAAUUCUCCUUUUUAAAUUUUCUCUCUGAUCUUUUUUGCCUCCUUUGCUGCUUAAGACAAAUGGACGCCACACUUGGCGCAACGAGAGUCAAGUCUGCUAAUUCGCGCCUGACGAAAAAUGAAGCUUAAAAUAUGUUCACCUUUUAGAGAAUGUAAUUAAUAUUUUCCUCAUUAAUGAUGUAUUAUUUCACCCACCCGUAACCCAUCCGCUAUUAAUCAGAAUGUUAAUUUUUAUGACUCGGCCCACCCGAUCCGCAGAUUAACCGUGGUGCCCGCGGAUAUAACUGCGAUCCGCACAUCACUAAUACACACAUGCCUUAUUUUUUCCCCACCCGCAUUCAGCGAAGAAGAAUAUCAGGGUCAGAGCCAAUCAGAGGCAGAGUAGGGGCGGGUCUUCGCAGAAUGCGGGUGGGAAAAAAAAUAACGCUACACACACACAGAGAGACAGACCUGCUAAAUGUCAGGUGCACCGGUGCGACCAAUGAAAAUGUUUAGUCGCACUUGACAGAUUUUUGGUCGCAUGUGCACCCAAAAUGGUCGCACUCUGGAGCCUUGAUUUAUACUCACUACUAUCCCAGCAUCCUGUUGGCUUCUUUACUGCAACAGCACAGUGCCUAGAACCUGAAAGGUUUUGAUCAACUAUUACUCCCAAAAUUGAGCACAUUCCAAUGUCGUUCCUCCCAUAAAGUAAUCUAGCCUGAUGUUUUUAUUUCCCACAUGUAGAACUUUACAUUGAGCUGUAUUGAGUUUCAUUUGCCAGGUUUCCACCGACUUCUGGAUUCACUUCUGUCAUAUAUUGCAGUCUUCAUCCAUCCCCAUUAUUCACUACCUGCUCUGCACUCUAAUGAAAUCCAUACUUACACUAGAGCUACCGCGGUUACUGCAUUACCGCGGAAACGCAAUCACGUGUUGACGACAGGGAAACUUAAUGCUACAGGGCAUAGGUGGCUUGCUGCCCUAGCCACAUACGAUUUUGAAGUAAAAUAUCGCCCUGGGAAGGUCAAUGUUGAGGCUGAUUUGCUUUCCCGAAACUGGACACUGAGACGUGGAGAAACCUUUCACAGGGUGAUGUGAAGGCGAUUUGUGGUUGUGUGCAUGUGCAGGAGUCUAGUCACAGUGAUGUGCACUUGGCAGACAAACUAGCUGUUCCAGCAGAAGGUGGUCCUGAGCUGUAUGAUUUUGCAACUCAUCUCAAUUUGGGUCAGCUAGAACAGUUCACCCGAGAAGACCUGCGAGAAGCGCAGCUAGAGGACAGUGUUCUCAGAGUAGUUAGAGAGGCUUUGAACACAGGUCAGUGGCCGGCAAACUAGAGCUGCCGCGGUUACUGCAUUACCGUGGUAACGCAAUCACGUCACGUCCACCGCAGAGUCAAGCUGAUCACCGCUUCACCGCUGGGUUUUGUUUUUUUCCCGUUUAUUUUAGGCCAAUUGUUUAUGUUCCAAUUUUUACUUGUAAAAGUUGUGAUCUGAAAUAAAUGCAAUGCAAUUUUAAAAAUAAUUAUAAUUAUAAUUGUGUAGCCUAUUUUCUUCACGCCAUGUGUUCGAAAGUUUCCACUCACAGUUGCGCAGUUAACGUUCUGAUCGGAGAACGUGUCACCCAGAACGUGCUUUGCAACUGUUGGAUACGGAAAGUUUUCGCUUCAAAUUAGGCUAAAAACAUGGAUCUUGUAGCGAAACCCAACGUUACUUCUCCUGUUUGGGAACAUUUUGGCUUUGAGCCCGAUGAACAUGGAAAGCCAAAGAAUUUGGAUGAGGCAGUGUGCCGCAUUUGCAGCAAGAAAAUCAACGUCAUGCGAGGAAACAGGACAAAUCUAGCAUCGCAUCUUAGGACCACUCACCGUCCGUUAUACGAUGCAAUGAAAGGCACCCCAUCUACCUCGGGAGGUACCGGCUCGGCACUACGUCAGUUAGGAGUCUCAGAGGCAUUUGCCAGAGUGACUAAAUACAACCGGGACAGCAACAAGUGGCGAGCACUUACAACAACUGUAACAAAGUAUUUGGUUGUGGAGAUGGUGCCCUUCCGGGCUGAAGGAAAGCCAUUAUUCUGAGCUAUGCUUCAGUCCUUCGACAAGCAGUAUGAACUGCCGGGCAGAACCUGUUUCUCGGAACCAGCCAUUCCAGAAAUGUACUUGAAAGUAAAAAACGAAAUUGUAGCUGGAGGUUUAAAUUAUUAUUUUUUUGUGGCGGUUACCGCAACGGUUUGAAUGGCUUCGCUAAUUUUUGUAGUAAGGAAAUAAAUCAAUACCGCGGCAGCUCUAACUUAUACCCCACUCUCUUUCUCAUGCUGACCUUGUGAUGAAGAUGAGUUGUACUCCUUCACAUUACACACCUGUGUGUGCUACAGGGUUGUGGCAUUUCUGAAGAUGUUGAGCAUAAAAUCAGAUAUUAUUACUGUUGGUAAAAUCAACUAUUGGUCGAUAGGGUAUGUGUGUACAUCUUAGGGAAGAGUGUCAAUCUGAUCAACAUGCAAACUGCUGUUUAGGUGCAAUGUUACAUCACUUAGUUUUGUCACUCUUCUGUGGUUCCAAUCCAAAGCUAAAGUCUGGAUUUCAGAACAUUUAAAUUCUACAGCAGUUGGCUUUACUUAUCUUGCUAGGCAGAGGGUAGAGGUUGCACAGGGUCAUUAUAUAGCAGAAACACAAGUAGACUCCUUACUGCUAAAUAGAGCACUGGGUCAUUAUAUAGCAGGAACACAAGGAGACUCCUCACUGCUAUAUAGAGCACAGGGUCAUUAUAUAGCAGGAACACAAGGAGACUCCUCACUGCUAUAUAGAGCACAGGGUCAUUAUAUAGCAGGAACACAAGGAGAAUCCACUACUGUGCUAUAUAGAGCACAGGGUUAUUAUAUGCACCUUUAGCUGCUCCAAACAAAACUGGCACCAACCCACCAUACUGUCCAUAGCCCAGCUCCCAAACACCAUCUAAAAACACCCUCCCCUAGGCCUGGAAGCUAGGUCACUUAAGCCGCGUUUCCACCAAAAUUACCCGGAACUUUCAGUCCCAGGAACUACUUUACCAGGAACUAAAAGGUUCCUUCAGCCAAUGGUUGUCUGCGUUUCCACCGGGGUCUAAAGUACCGCGAAGAUUAGGCAAAAUAGCCCACUGACGUAUGAAAAAGCAACGUUGUCGUCGGCCCAUCUGUCAUAUGAUUUCUUCCGUAACCCCAUACUACCACCAAAGUAGCCUACAUUAUUUUCUAAUAACCGGGACAGCCCGGAGGGGUUUAUUCCACUUAUACAACGGGUUACCAACAAUGACUAUAUAUGGUUACUUUUGUAUUUAUUGAUUUUCAUAUAUCCUCUCAAACACAUUAAUUAUGUUUUUAUGCGAACAUUCGCUUUCAUGUCUUGACAUCCGAACCGACAGAAUGCAUUCACAUUUAUAUGUAUAACUGGCAACAACAGCAGAAAACAUGCACACGUUGUAAACAAUUUGCUGUUUGAUUACUUUCUCGUCGUCAAUUCCAUAUAGGCUAAUGGCAAAAUGACAAGAAUAGAACGAAAACUCAGACUUGCGUGAAAAUGUAAAUUAGUAGUGGUACAGCCACCGUUUGCUUUCCUUCGAAGUUACUGCUAGCCGAGCAGCGAAGUGUGCCCUCCAGAUGCGAACCAUGCACCAUAAAUUAGUCCAUAGUCUUCCUGGUCUUUUUGUGGAAUUGAAAAAUGGCAGUAAAAUUGAGUAAAAUUACGGCAGUCUGAAAAAGCUAAAGGGAAGAUUACUAGAAUUAACCUGUUAUUUUACCCGGAUAAAAAGUGCGGAAGGUGAUUUCCAGUUUGCUUGUACUGUAUCACCAAUGUUAAUUAUGCAGAACUAUACCUCACAUAACUGUAUCAAACGUUUUGAGUCAAUUACAACGGGCUAACAAAGAAAAUCCGGAAGAAAAUAUUCAGCAACCGAAUUAAUCCGUUUGAAUGUUUUGGUACGUAAUAUGCUGUCCCAGCACGAAUGCUUAGCAUAUUAUAAAACGAAUACUAAAGCAAGAAAAGAACAGAAGAGCACACGUUAUAAUUCCAAGACGUUGACAGGCUAUAACCAAAACUAGGCUACUGCGCCGCAUAACAUACAAGUUUGAUUUGAAGUUAUUAUGAAAAUAAAUUGGUUUGCCGCUGCAUAUUUUCAAACAUGGCGGGUAAUGGCGGAAAAUAAAUACAACACAAAUGCUGCGAGUACUCGACCAAUCAGAAAUGUUCAGCGCUGCAAGCUCCACCCAAAAGGUUCCUGUACUUUCGGAAAGUACUACCCCCCGAGCAGGAACGUUUUGGGGGGUAAAACAAAGCCCCCAGAACUAAAUUUAGACCCUAGUUCCUGCGAUGGAAACGCACUGAGUUCCUCAAAAGGUUCCUAGUUCCGUGGUAUAGUUCCUGCGGUGGAAACGCGGCUUUAUAGAGCCCAUGGUUAGGUAAUGGGCCACAGGUAAUGUGAUUGCAAUGAACCCCAGCUGCAGCUAUUCCCGUCUGUAGGGCCGAUGCUGCCCCCUGGUGGACAGCACCCCAAUUCCCUUCCUGGCAUCACAUGUUAAACAGGCAACAGCUUUGAGGAUAUUCUGUGUGACACUCAGAACAACACCAAUUAAUGCAUUACUAAUGAGAUGGGAGAAACACCACUGAAGCAUAGAUGGAUAAAACUUGCUUUGCAUAACUGGAUUAAGUUUAAAUUAUCUAGUGUAGAUCACUCUACUAUGCAUCCUAUUGAGAACUCAUGGGAAGUGGACAUGCAAGGGAUUCAUUGUUAAUUAAUUGUGCUGCAACAUGAUGAACAGACGGACCAACUAAUAAAUAACUCUCCAGUGCUUGCUCAGGCAGUAUGUGAGCAGGGCAUCCAAUUGAUCUGGCGUAAUCUGAAUUAUGGAGUGAAACAUUCAGGCGAAGAGCCACUUCCUCCAAAUGGCUGAACACUACAGGGUCAAACUCUGUGAUGCAGCUACCUGGAACAAACUGUCAAGGCAUCCACACAAAAGAGCACAUAAUGAGGACUAGCAUUUUCAGCUAGGUCAGCCAGGCUCAAGCCUCUGGCUAUCUCUUGCCUGUAUAGGAAACAACAGUUUUCCUAUUUGGCUCAAUUCUGAAAAUAUAACUAGAACUAGAUUAAUCAUUUUUAAUACAAACCAUUCACACCUACAUCCUAAUUAUGAUUUAAUACCAUAAUGGAAUUUCUGGGACGUGCCAUUCAGAAACUGACAUGGCGAGCUAACCUAAGUUUUAAUACCUUUAAAGGUUCACACAAAGUAAGGUAACUCAAUAUAGUUUGAUGUUUUAGGAUACAAACACUGUUUUUAAUCUAUCUAUUGAUUACAUUUAAAUGUUUUUCAUAGCCUAUUGCCAACUGGUGAAAACUUAUCACGAUACUGUACAUUUGUAGUGUAAUCAGGUUAUCCACUAGGUGGAGCCCUAGGCUUUUCGAAACAGGAUAUACCAACCAAUGUAAGACGUCAGUGAGGUAGUGAGGUAGCUUGCUCAGGAGAUUGAGUGCAGCCGUGCUGUAUGUAUGCCACAGUUCUUUAAGCUCCAAAGUAAAGUUUAUCAUAAACUCUUCUAUGUGGUCCUGUUCUUUUCCCUUCUCAAGUUAUCCCAGCAUUAUUCUGCAGUUCCCGUUGAAUGUCUUCCCUUUUCAGUCCUGUUAUGUUCCCUUGCUCUGUGACUGAUUGCUCUAUCAAAAAUAUGCAAUCUGUUAGUCACGAAAAGACUGUUUACGAUUACAUA